ensembl:lncRNA
CUCCCCCAAAUCUGUGUCUCCAGGGUGAGUGUGUCAUGUCUGUUACCCUUUGUUCGUAACUGCACGCCUUCUGUAUGCUCACACACGGAGUUCACGCCUGUGUCGCUUGGCCGGAGCCCACCAUGAGGACGUGCCCGUAGAACGUAAGAGCACAGACGCACGGUGCUGCGUACGGCCGCCACUGUCUUAAACGCUUAGACAUGUCGACUCAGCCUUUCUAGCCAGUUUAUGUGGUAGGUAAUAUUGCCCUCAUUUUACACUGAAAACUGAAGACUAGAAAGGCUAAGGGAUUUGCCCAGACUUGUACUGUUGGUGCAAAGUAUGAGGUUAGGGAUCGGAGGCCAUUUAGGCUGGCCACAGAGUCCAUGCCCAUAUCACUUUCCCAGAUCCCUUCAUGUAGUGUGAUCCUUUUUCCUUGUCACUACUCAUUUUUACUAAAACGGAUCAAGUAAUGUGCAUUGACCUCUGACCCCUGUUUCUCAUUCUGCAGUACCUCUUGGCCACCAUUUCAGUUUGAGUGUGAAACCAUGUUAAGUCUUCAGUGCUGGCGUCAUCUCAUCACUUUGUGAAAGAUAUAGCGAUCUCAGACAAGGGGAACGGUAUAAGGGUUGGAGUCCAGAGGAAGCCAGGAACAAGCUUCAGGAGUUCUAGUGAAGUUGCUGUCACGUCCGACUCUGUGAUCCGAUUGACUGCAGCCUACCAGGCUCCUCCAUCCAUGGAAUUUUCCAGGCAAGAGUACUGGAGUGGGGUGCCAUUUCCUCCUCCAGGGGAUCUUCCCAACCCAGGGAUCAAACCCAGCUCUCCCUCAUUGCAGGCAGAUGCUUUACCAUCUGAGCCCCAGGGAAGCCUUAGGAGUCCUGAGCACUUGGUUUAAGUUGUGUCAGUGAAUUUCAACAACGUGUGUGAAGUGGCUCAUAGGGGAGCUCAGUAGAACCUCAGAGCCCAGUAUUUUUAUUGGGCACUCUGCUUGGAACAUAACAGUUUUGACCUUCAGAAGCAUAGCAGGUCAGCAGCAUAAUACAGAGACAGUGCCUAUCCUGAGCCAUUCAUCCUUUCUGGGCACGAUAGCAAGCAUCCCAAAGUCUAAGUCCCUAAACUAGCCAGGGACAAACUGAAGUUCAAAGGAUAGCACCGCAUGUUAACUCAUGUUCACAGUGACUUAAAUGAUACCAAAAUAGGGAAGUUCAAAUUCCUUUAACAAAUACUAAGCAAAUACAGUUUGCUAUGACAAAAAUAAGUCAUAGCUUUGAGGUGAAGGUUUAAAUACAUAUAAGUCAUUGUAACAAUAGUUAUAUCACACCAAAAAUUCUUACACGUGUUCAGGAUUUAAUGAUGACAAAAUAUACAGAAUAUCUGGUGAGAAAGAAUCAUGCCUCUCAAUAAAUGUUUUAUCUGUUUAGAUAUAUUGCCAAGUGAUUUGACUUGCAAAUAUUCCCUGUAUUUGCCUCUAUUUCUACAGAGAUGUUAACAACCAGGUUAAUGCCAUGUAUUUCCAUUGCACAUAUGUCAACAGUUUCUCCUUUAUUCUUCCUACUGUUGAAACUUGUAGCCUUGACUUCAAGAAAGAGAAGAUUAACGAAUAUGGGGUCAUAAUUCCCGCAUUGUUAAAUGUGCAUAACUGGAGAUUAAAGAGUGUGUUGU